AAGGUUAGGUCAGCCAUCUGUUGGAAUAGGUGGUUUAAGCGUGUAGGCGUGCCCCUUAGGCAAAUCCGGGGGGCUUAGCUGAGGCGUGACGACGAGGCACUACGGUGCUGAAGUGAUUAAUACCAAGCUUCCAGGAAAAGCCACUAAGCUUCAGUCUAGAGUCGACCGUACCGCAAACCGACACAGGUGGGCAGGAUGAAAAUUCUAAGGCGCUUGAGAGAACUCAGGAGAAGGAACUCGGCAAAUUGACACCGUAACUUCGAGAGAAGGUGUGCCCCGGUAGGUUGUAGAGCCUCGCGCUCGAAGGCCGAUGGGGUUGCAGUGAAAUGGUGGCUGCGACUGUUUAAUAAAAACACAGCACUCUCCAAACACGAAAGUGGACGUAUAGGGUGUGACGCCUGCCCGGUGCUGGAAGAUUAAAUGAUGGGGUGCAAGCUCUUGAUUGAAGUCCCAGUAAACGGCGGCCGUAACUAUAACGGUCCUAAGGUAGCGAAAUUCCUUGUCGGGUAAGUUCCGACCUGCACGAAUGGCGUAACGAUGGCCACACUGUCUCCUCCUGAGACUCAGCGAAGUUGAAAUGUUUGUGAAGAUGCAAUCUCCCCGCGGCAAGACGGAAAGACCCCAUGAACCUUUACUGCAGCUUUGCAUUGGACUUUGAACCGGUUUGUGUAGGAUAGGUGGGAGACUGUGAAACCGGGACGCUAGUCUCGGUGGAGUCGUCCUUGAAAUACCACCCUGAUUUGUUUGAGGUUCUAACCUGGGCCAGUGAAUCCUGGCCGGGGACCGUGCAUGGUAGGCAGUUUGACUGGGGCGGUCUCCUCCCAAAAGGUAACGGAGGAGUACGAAGGUACGCUUAGGGCGGUCGGACAUCGCCCAUAAAGUGCAAUGGCAAAAGCGUGCUUGACUGCGAGACCCACAAGUCGAGCAGGUGCGAAAGCAGGUCAUAGUGAUCCGGUGGUUCUGUAUGGAAGGGCCAUCGCUCAACGGAUAAAAGGUACUCUGGGGAUAACAGGCUGAUACCGCCCAAGAGUUCAUAUCGACGGCGGUGUUUGGCACCUCGAUGUCGGCUCAUCUCAUCCUGGGGCUGUAGCCGGUCCCAAGGGUAUGGCUGUUCGCCAUUUAAAGAGGUACGUGAGCUGGGUUUAAAACGUCGUGAGACAGUUUGGUCCCUAUCUGCCGUGGGCGCUGGAAAUUUGAAGGGGGCUGCUCCUAGUACGAGAGGACCGGAGUGGACGAACCUCUGGUGUACCGGUUAUAACGCAGUCGUAUCGCCGGGUAGCUAUGUUCGGAAGAGAUAAACGCUGAAAGCAUCUAAGCGUGAAACUCGCCUUAAGAUAAGAUUUCCCGGAGUCUUGAACUCCUUGAAGGGUCGUCGAAGACCACGACGUUGAUAGGUCAGGUGUGGAAGCCAAAAG
rnacentral:rRNA from 1 species